UACGUAGGCAGCGAGCGUUGUUCGGAGUUACUGGGCGUAAAGGGUGUGUAGGCGGUUCUUUAAGUUUGGUGUGAAAUCUCCCGGCUCAACCGGGAGGGUGCGCCGAAUACUGAGGGACUAGAGGGCGGGAGAGGAAAGUGGAAUUCCUGGUGUAGCGGUGAAAUGCGUAGAUAUCAGGAGGAACACCGGUGGUGUAGACGGCUUUCUGGACCGUAACUGACGCUGAGACACGAAAGCGUGGGUAGCAAACAGG
rnacentral:rRNA from 1 species